AAGACUAUACUUUCAGGGAUCAUUUCUAUAGUUUUUGACUUGAGAAAUGUGUUUCUAAAGUGUUUGGUCUCGCUAACCACGAUGAUGAGUCGUGAUAUUUCCUUCUGAGCGUGAAGCUGACAGAGAAUAAUGAUACAGUUCAUAUGUUCUCUGUCAUUGAUGACCGUUCAUUGUUUCCUAGAGGAGCAUUGAGGAAGGGAAUAUGAUCAGAGUGGU
ensembl:snoRNA U3 Small nucleolar RNA U3